UACGAAGGGGGCUAGCGUUGUUCGGAAUUACUGGGCGUAAAGGGUGUGUAGGUGGUUUAGUACGUCAGAAGUGAAAUCCCCAGGCUCAACCUGGGAAUUGCUUUUGAGACUACUAGACUUGAGUACAGGAGAGGUGAGUGGAAUUCCCAGUGUAGAGGUAAAAUUCGUAGAUAUUGGGAGGAACACCAGUGGCGAAGGCGGCUCACUGGCCUGUAACUGACACUGAGACACGAAAGCGUGGGGAGCAAACAGG
rnacentral:rRNA from 1 species